UGGGGAAUAUUGGACAAUGGGGGCAACCCUGAUCCAGCCAUGCCGCGUGAAUGAUGAAGGCCUUCGGGUUGUAAAGUUCUUUUGGUGGGGACGAUGAUGACGGUACCCACAGAAUAAGCUCCGGCUAACUUCGUGCCAGCAGCCGCGGUAAUACGAAGGGAGCUAGCGUUGUUCGGAAUUACUGGGCGUAAAGGGCGCGUAGGCGGUUUGGUAAGUUGGAUGUGAAAGCCCAGGGCUCAACCCUGGAACUGCAUUCAAAACUGCUUGACUUGAAUUCGGUAGAGGUUGGUGGAAUUCCCAGUGUAGAGGUGAAAUUCGUAGAUAUUGGGAAGAAUAUCCGUGGCGAAGGCGGCCAACUGGACCGACAUUGACGCUGAGGCGCGAAAGCGUGGGGAUCAAACA
rnacentral:rRNA from 1 species